GUCACAACGUCACAAAAGGGUUAAGUUCGGUCCUACGGUGACGUCAAAAGAUGUUGAUGUUUUGAUUUCGACAGAAUUCCGGAAGCCGUGUCACAGCAACUGUUUUCAUUUAAAUUCUUACUGAAUAUAAUUUGGUUUAAUACCACUGAAAGCAGCGUAAUAUUCGUUUUAGUGACAUGUCGUCUCUCUGUAAUUCCAUGUUAAAUCUGAGGUCUGUCUAACCACAGUUACGCUCGUACAUGACCAAAUGAAUCAUGGGCAACGGCAUGAAUAAGGUUGUUGAUGGUCUCUAUCUAGGAAAUAUAAGAGACUCAGAAAACAGAGACAGUCUGUCCCACAAUGGCAUCACUCAUAUCCUCUCCGUGUGCAACAAUGCCAAGCCUGUGUUAGAGGACAUGACCUAUCUGUGCAUUAAUGCAGCUGAUGCCUCCAGCCAAAAUUUAAUAUGCCUACUGCCCUACUAUAUAAAAGGCAAAAAAAGGUCUCAACAUUUCAAAGAGUCCAUACGCUUUAUUCAUGAGUGUCGACUUAAUGGAGGGGCAUGUCUAGUUCAUUGUCUUGCUGGGGUGUCUCGCAGUACCACCGUGGUGGUGGCUUACCUCAUGACUGUCACCAGCUAUGGCUGGGAAGAGUGUCUGACUGCAGUGAAGGCUGUGCGCUCUUUUGUGGGCCCAAACUAUGGCUUCCAGCAGCAGCUGCAGGAGUUCCAGAUGAAACAGGUGUCAGAGGCACUUCUCCUGGAAGAGCGCGUGCACACACAUCAACCAGAGCGAGAGAGCAAGAGCAAGAGCAUGCCCAUCAAUGUGCUUUGUUCGGGUUACGGAAGUCAUCGGCAGCGCUGCACAGGACUUGCUCGAGAAAGAAUUUAUCACUUUGUUUUUAGACCACGAAAUCAACAAUGUCACCAAAGAAGUGUGUUUUUGGUUGUGAGGGAAAGAUAACCUUGCUUCCCAAAGAACCCAGCAUUAAGUGGAGCUGAGAGAUUUGUGCUCACGCAUUACAUUGAUGCGCCCUCUACAUUUGUCAUUAAAAUAACCAUAGAAACCGCCUUAAAUUAACUAUCAAAAUAAGGAUAAAGUCGUGUCUGAAAGUUGCAAUCAGUUUUUUAUUGGUUAAAAUGAAUGGAAUAUUUUGUGUUUUUCCGUGGCUGCUCGAGCCCUCAGGAUUGGAGCUUAUGGUUUUAUUAACAAGGCCCAGGUCGACGCUGGAUUUACAGAUCGUUUGAAACUGAAAGAUGGAGCGGUCACAGCGAUAAAAGAUCCCCGUCAUGAGUUGGAACCGCAGGUGUCACCACACUCACUGACUCUGGGUCAGCCGGGAACUCAUCUCUCAAACCCUCUCAUUUCUACAAGAUCGUUUCUGGUGGCCCAGUAUGGCACGUGACAUCAGAAGGUUCGUGAGUAGGUGUACGGAUUGAGCCAUCUCGUAGACUCCACAACAUCUCCCAUCUGUCCCAUCUGGCAAGCUCCUUCCUCUGCCUGUUCCAAAUCUCUCCUGGUCACAUCUAGGGGUGGAUUUUAUCACGGAUCUACCUCCAACCCAAGGUAACACUUGCAUCCUGGUAAUUGUGGAUCAUUUUUCUAAAUCAUGUCAUCUUAUUCCCCUCAAAGGAUUACCCACUGCCAUGGAGACCACAGAGCUCCUUUUCAAUCACGUCUUCAGAAUCUUUGGGAUUCCCAAAGACAUUGCAUCUGACAGGGGGCCUUAGUUUAUUUCCAGAGUUUGGAAGGCUUUCAUGAAACUCCUAUAUGUGACUGUAAGCCUCUCCUCUGGAUACCUUCCUCGAACCAAAGGGCAGACAGAAACCUCCGAACCUUCUGCCAUAACCACCAGAACUCCUGGAGCCUGUAUCUAGCUUGGGCUGAGAACACACAAAACUCCCUUCAUCAGCAAAAAAUGGGUCUUACUCCAUUUCAGUGUGUACUCGGCUACCAACCACCCAUGUUCCCCUGGUAGGUGGAACCAUCGGAUGUACCAUCAGUCAACCACUGGUUCCAGGAGAGUGAGAGAGUCUGGGACUCAGCUCACCAUCAUCUUCAAGGGGCCAUAAGAAGACAAAAACAACAUGCUGACACACGUAGAUCAUCUACUUCAAACUACCGUCUGGGGCAGAAGGUAUGGCUUUCAACCAAAAACAUCAGGUUACGUCUACCUUGCAAGAAGCUGAUUCCCAGGUACAUUGGCCCCUUUGAAAUCACCAAGGAGAUCUAUCCGGUAUCCUUUCAACUCAGGCUGCCAGACCACUACCGCAUUCACCCUGUAUUCCAUGUCUCUCAACUCAAGCUGUAUCACUCACCUGUUUCUUUCCCUUCCACAGAGCCUGGUGAUGGUGGCGUACCUCCCUUGCCUUCUGUGGUGGAAGAUGGAGGAGUCUUUACAGUUCGAGAGAUCGUCGACUCCCGGGGUGGUGUACUGGAUUAUUUGGUGGACUGGGAAGGCUACGGCCCAGAGGAACGAUCUUGGGUUCCUAGAGGUGACACACUGGACCCUGAGUUACUCACCACCUUCCACAGUUCCCAUCCUGAGAAACCUGCACUAUGCAAAAGGGGUCGCCCACCUUGUCAUUGUUGGAGUCGUCGGCCCCCAGGAGUGGUCCGUUUAGAGGGGGGUACUGUCACGGAAUCACCAGGCUUCACCUAACUCCAAAUGCUAAUCCAUCUGAAAGCACUGCUUCGCCACAAUGAUCGCAAUCACCAGAGUUUUAAUCAUCACCAGCUGUCACUCAUUUUGCCUGCACCAGUUACAAGGACUCUCCACACAUACACUCAUUGGGUGAUUCUCAAUUCUUAUUUGUGCAUCCUUGUUUCCUUUCCUCGCGUGAGUGAAGGACACAAGGAAAAGACGCGAAGACAGAGGAAUUGAAUUAAGUGAAAUGAUAUCCUCGCUCCCUUUAUCGUCACUUCAAAGCGUCAUCAGGGGGGAUCUGUCUCGAGGGAUCUACCCAUAUGUUGUUAAAGUUUAGUUAUUUAAAAAAUUAUAAUAAAUAUUAAUAAAGCAAGAUGCCCCGUUGAAAUAUGCAAGGUGUAAAGUUUAUUUAAACUGCAAAAGUAAAGCAUACAUUUAAAUUAUUGUGACAGAUAUGAAGGGGGAGGAGAAUUUAUACGUGCAUCACUUUUCUCGACGAGAAAGACUUCCGCAAAGGAUACACCUGUGUAUCCUCGCUCAUGACUCCUCAGGAAGAUUCCUCACUCCUCGUUCCUCGCCUCCUCGUGGUGCAAUUAGAGAAUUGAGAUGUCCUUCAAGAUGGCUGAGCUUGAUCGGUUUCCGGGUCAUAGGAUGGAGGACGGAGGAGCGAGGAAACAAGGAGGGAUAUUGAGAAGCACCCCUGGUCUAGUCUCAUCUUAAGCCAGGGACACACUUAACGACUAGCUAAAACAUUCUAAGACUGAGCUCAACACACAAAGACUGUUUCCUUCGACUGAAGCAGAUUAAAAUACUUACACACAGAAUUUAAACACCAACUGUAAACACUGACUGAACGCAACUGGCUCUGACUCAGCGCGUUUGGGCAUUAUCAGUUGUAAGUAUCAAAUUCCAUUCAUAAUCAGUAAUUUAAAUCGUUACCUACCUGACAACUCCUUACCUGCUGUUCCUCUCCUCACCUAAGUCUCCAUUCUCCUCAUCUCCGAUAUCCAGUAUCCAGCUCCUUGUCUCCAGUUCCGUGUCCUAUUCCAAGUACCGUGUGUACGUCCUGCAACAAAAGAAAGGAAAGUGCUUGUUAACUAUUCAUCAGUGACUGAGAAACGUCUGUGUAUGUGUGGCAACGUACCUGUCUGUUAUCCUCCAGCUGUGUCUUUUAUACUUACCUGUUCAUCCACCACCAUUACCAUUCUCAUUCUGCUGUGUUAAAUAAAGCUUGCCUUUAACGUUA